CAGUCGCCACGGGAAUACAGAGGGUGCGAGCGUUAAUCGGAUUUACUGGGCGUAAAGCGUGCGUAGGCGGCUUCUUAAGUCGGAUGUGAAAUCCCUGAGCUUAACUUAGGAAUUGCAUUCGAUACUGGGAAGCUAGAGUAUGGGAGAGGAUGGUAGAAUUCCAGGUGUAGCGGUGAAAUGCGUAGAGAUCUGGAGGAAUACCGAUGGCGAAGGCAGCCAUCUGGCCUAAUACUGACGCUCAUGCACGAAAGCGUGGGGAGCAAACAGGAUUAGAUACCCCGGUAGUCCCUGUCUCUUAUAC
rnacentral:rRNA from 1 species